rnacentral:lncRNA from 1 species
CCAGCAGCUGUAGCUCUGAUUGGACCCCUAGCCUGGGAAUCUCCAUGUGCUGUGCGUGCAGCCCUUAAAAGCAAAAAAAAAAAAGCAAAAAAAGAAGAAAAAAAAGAAGAAAAAGGAGAGAGAACCCUAUCCCUCUCCCCUCCCACCCUAUGCACAUACCAAGGAAGGGCCACGUGAAGACACAGCAAGGAGGAGGUCAUUUAUAAGCCAGGAAGGGAGCCCCCAGAGCCUGACUGCCCUGGCCCCCUGAUCUCAGAAUUCCAGCUUCCAGAACUGUGAGAAAACAAAAUUUCUGUUGUUUAAGCCAAUCAGCCAGUAUAUGGUAUUUUGUUAUGGCAGCCCGAGCUGACUGAAACCAGAGAAGGAGGUCCUGGACCUUAAGCUUGGGCAUGAAACCAUAAUGGGAUGAGACUUUUGAUAAUGACACCUAUCCCAGGGGGUUUGUUCAUUUAUUCAGCAAAUAUUUAUCAAAGACUUACGGUGUUAAGUAUUAGGGAUACAGUGAUGAACAAGACGGAGUCCAUGGUCUUAUGUUGAUGCCUUUCUAGUGGGGAAGACAGAUAUAAAACCUGUGACCGAGAGGAGCUUGGAAAGGAAGCAAUAAAGCACCUGGCACCUAGUAGGUCCUUUAAGGAGGUAGCCACCCAUCACCCACGGCCUUGACCACAUCUGGGCUUUCUUGAAACUCCUGCUGGAGGCUGAGCAGAGAACUAACUCCCACCACCCUGGUCCUAGCCCAUCCAUGCCCAGCCAUCCUCUGUAUUGUCCCAAGUGACCUUGCCAAAGACGUGGCUUCUCCCUGGAGCCAGACCACACCUGCUCUGAGCAGCCAAGAUCCUGAAUCUUCAUCUUAGCCUCCCAUUGCCUUUGCUGUGGGUUGUCUGCUUUUCUUGGUGAGAUGUUAUCUGCAUUUGCUCUAAGAAUUUUUCAUCUUCUUCACUAAACCAGAGGAGGGAGAGAUCCCCAGGGACCCCUGUCCUCACCUACAGAAGAAUAACCUUCCAUGGAUCAGUGUGACGUGCCAGGGCCGUGUACACACCAUCUCCUUUAAUCUCAGUGCCACCCUGGGUGCUAUCAUAAUGCCCUUUUGGCAGAGGCAGAAAUGGAAGCACGGAAAGGUUGAUUAGGUGCCUGUGGCAACACAGCUGGUUAGUGUCGGAUAUGAAUUCAAACCCAGGCACUCUCCACUCUCCUGAGGAUGAUCUGCAUGGAUAUGACUGAAUCAGAGUUGGGGAGAGGAGGGAUGGGAUGAGGACAAGGGUGAGAAGUCCAGAGGCUGGGCAGGGAGGAUGUAAGUCUGGAGGUGGGACCCCAGCAUCCUUGUUCUCUGGGAAGUUACCUUUAUGCCCAGGGGAAGAUAGGAUGGAAUGGAGAAGAGAACUGAUAAGAAACUUUUUGAACAUUUUGGUCCCUUAACAGUAUCUAUGAGUCCACUGUGAGCAGUUGCACAGGUUGUGCACUGCCCAACUCAAAUGGCAUCAUUCACACUGGGGUUUAUGAGAAUGGCACCAUAUAGGGAAUAUAUGGGUCACAUCUUAUGUUAUAGGAGGACUUCUCAGCAGUCCUGGCUCUGAUGCCAUGGAGGCAGGGAGAGUCUCUCAUCUUGGAAUAGAGCCCCCAGGUCUCUACAGAGGAGAGGGGUCAGGGAGGGAUGGCCCACAGCAGGCCACUGAAUCUCCUAGGAAGAAUGAUGUGGAGGUGUGAACAAGCUGCCCUGGGUCUCUCCUUCACCACGUGGCCAGCUCAGAGGCAGCUGGUGGUCUCACCCUCCGCUGCCCAGUGCCCGAGGCUGAGGUCCCUGCAUGCCCUGGACUGUGGGAGCUGGAGCCUCCUUGCAGGGAUGCUGGCUUUCAGGGUCUUGCCUCCAACCCAGUGGGUAUCUCUCCCUGAAAGCUUGUCUGGUUGGCUUUGGGUCUCCUUUCUCUUCUCCCCAGGACAGCUGGGGGGGACCCCCUUUUCCAGGAACCCUUCCUGCAGCCAACUUGGGGGUUAGGGAGACCUGGGGUGGGUGGAGGGAGCGACUUUAAGAGCCCAGCCACUUGUCUGACUCAGCUCUAAGAACUUCCUCUAAGAGACAGGAGAGUUUGAGUCACCAGGCUGUCCCCUCGCCCAGGGGCCUUGCCCACCUGCUCCUCUCUGUGUAAAUCCCCAGGGCCCUCCGUCGUCUUCCCUGUCAGGGACCGAUGGCGGCCCACCCUGGUGAUGGUUUAUUACAGCUCACUUCCUGCUGUGAGUAAAUAAGUUUGUCUCCUUUAAAUUCCAGGGGCAAUUAGGAGAAUGAAAGAGUGAUCUGUGGAUUAGCAUUUAUUUCCUCCAAACGUUUAUAUGAGGCCAUUUUCCCACUGACAAAUCGUGGGGCAAAUUGUUCUCGAGAAAGUCUGUCUGCAGCAAAGGUGCUAUGAUUAAACGGCUGGUGUAAAUUUGGGGCCAUAAAUCCUUUCCCUGGGUUAACGGGAUUUAUUUGCAGCAACUGCCAUUACGAGCUCAAAGAAGUCAUAAUAAAUGAGGUUGAUUUUGCACCUGUUUCGGGGUAAUUAAUAUGCACACAAAAGGGAAAAGAGGUGGUUUUUAUGGACUGCCUGGCUCGUGGCUCAGAACGGGGCCACGCUGUGCGGUCCUCAGGUCGGCGGCCAGCCUGGUUCAAGGCCUCUGGGCUGGGAGCUCUGGGGAUGCGGCUGGAGGCACGAGGUCUGGGGUCUGGCCUGAAGCUUCUGUGUUGCAGGUAACAGAGUCCCUCUAGGCAGCCUGAGGAGUGUAGGGGUUGUUAACAGGCCAAGAGGGAGAACAGGACAUGCAUGGAACUCGAGGGUUGGGGAAAUGGACAGAGUUCAUUGGUUACCAGUGACGGAAAGUCGAAACAGCGGAGCUCCCAGGAUGGGAGGAAAUGCAGCCGGAACCUGGCUCUAAGGGUUGAGAUGGAGACUCAGGACCAUGACAUCUUUCUCUCUGUUUGCCUCUCUGCUCCCUCCAAGCUGGCCCUGCUAGGAAGCCGCCCCUGCCCCAGAGGAACCCAAAGUUCCCUUAAAUGGAAGGUCAAGGUCCAAACUCCACUUGCUCUCCCCUCAGUAGCUCCCAUGCAGAGAUGGAGAGACUGAUCCUUAUUCCUGAGGUUUCUUGGGGGGUUCAGCCUUUCCAGACCCCACCUCAAGCCCGUCCUGGCCAGAAGGGGUCUACUGACAUCCGCGGAUGUUGUCAUCUUGCACUGACCCCGCUCCCCGCACCACUGCCCACCAUUCCCCCGCCCCCAUGCCUAGAAGACCUGCCUUCUGCUUACAGACCUUGUCCAGCUGGAGAGCCAGCACCUGGGACCCCUGCCCAGCCCUGGUCAGAUCCAUCCCUGGAAACCCUGAGCCUGCGACUCCAGCCUCUGCCUGCAUUAUUUCUCCCAACAGGCCCCUCCCACCGCCGCCCCCUCACCCCCAAUCUUGUGCUCUGAGACACAGUCCUAGGUGGGAGCUUCCUGGGAGGGGAGUUUGGACCCUGGGCUUCCGGUUGGGAAGAAGAUGUGUUUUGGUUGCCUCUGUCUUUUUAAGUCCUCUCUGGUCCCCUUCUCUCUUCCCUCCCCUCCCCUCCCCAGCCUGGGCAAGAUGAGGUCCCCAGGGAAUCCUCCGUGGGCCUUGGUGGGAAAGCAGUUAGAUAGAUUAUCCAAACACGGAUUCAGUGGUGGCAUAUUCCUGAGAGGCAGUGAAAGUGUGUCACUGAGAGCUUGGGCUCAGGGACCAGGCUGCCUGGGUUUGAACCCUCGCUCAACACUUCCCGGCCGUGAGAUCCUGGCCAAGUCCUUUCACUGCUCUGAUGUCUGGAGAGUGACUGACUCAGCUUAGAGAAGCAUUUCCAGGAGAGAGGACAUUGGAGAGGGGGCUACACGAGUGAAUGAGAGUUCCCCAGUGGAGCUAGGGAGAAAGGAUCUAUUCCAGGCAGAGAGAACAGUCUGUGCAAAUCAGGGGGAAAGAACUCUGUUCAGUGGAUGAGGAGUUAAGGUGGAGCCCCAGAGGGUCAUGUUCUUGUAUUUAAUUUAAUUUAAUUAUGUAUUUUUCAUUGUCUUUUUAGGGCUGCACCCACUGCACAUGGAAGUUCCCAGGCUAGGGGUUGAUUCAGAGCUGUAAAUGCUGACCUAGACCACAGCCACAGCAAUGCCAGAUCUGAGCUGCAUCUGUGACCUACACCACAGCUCAUGGCAAUGCCGGAUCCUUAACCCCCUGAGCGAGGCCAGGGAUCGAACCCACAACCUCAUGGAUAAUAGUCGGGGUCAUUACCUCUGAGCCACCAUGGGAACGCCAAGGCAUGUUGUUUUAAAGCUUGCAGGAAAAUUCAGAUGUGGAGAAAAUCUCCAAUGAGGUCUUUUUUUUUUUUCUUUAAAGCAAUUAAAUCUGACUCUAAUCCCUACUCCCUGACCCCUGAACUGGCAGGAAAUUCAAUUUCAGUCAGUACCAAGGCCCUGCCCCUUCUGGGGUCUUCCCGGCAUGCAGGGGACUCUCAAAGGUCAUCUGACAACUGGGACAAGUCUUCAAAACUGCUCUCCACUGGCCACUGCAGCUGGGGUCCUUCUUGUCUGAGCUCACAGGGGUCGCUGAGACCCUGUGACAUUUUCCCAACAGGGGGCUCCCCUCUGUGUCCAGGCGAGGUGUCAUGGGCCUGGGAUCUGGCUCAGUAUGCGAUGCACCUGCCCCUGGGUCAUCUCGGGAGGAUCACGGGUCGUGCUGAGUCCUGACACUUGUCUCGUCUUUGCAGCCAGGGGAGAAAUCCCCUCCUCCUUGCAGGUCUAGGCCCUCUUCUCCCGCCACUCCUGCUCUGGGUCACCUCUCCAAGGGCUCUGAGCUCCUUAUAAAUGCCAGGAAGGCGAUGGGCAGGCACUGUUACUGUGUUCUGCAAAAUCCCGAGAGCGGCUCUGGGGUAGGUUCAAAAUGCAGUGAAAGAAAAAGUUUUUGUGUUUUUGUUUCUUAGGGCCAUACCCAAGGCACAUGGAGGUUCCCAGGCUAGGGGUGGAAUCAGAGCCGCAGCUGCCAGCCUACGCCACAGCCAUAACCACAGCCACGUGGGGUCUGAGCCAUGUCUGUGACCUACACUGUGCAGCUCCCGACAACGCCGGAUCCUGAACCCACUGAGCGAGACCAGGGAUCCAACCUGCAUCCUCAUGGAUACUUGUCGGGUUCGUUACCCCUGGGCUGCAAUGGGAACUGCAAAAUUUUUUUAAAAGAUGAAAGAAAAGGGAGUUCCCUCGUAGCUCAGCAGCGUUGUCACUGCUGUGGUUCAGGUUUCUGGUGUGGCUGUAAUAAAUAAAUAGUAAACUUCCAAAUGAGAUUGUGCUAAUUCUCUGCUUACACUUAUCCAAA